rnacentral:lncRNA from 1 species
CGUGAGGUUAUGUCAAUUAAUUGAUUUAAAACUAGUGACAAUUAAACUGAAAUAUCUUUCCUGAAUUGUGCUCAAGCGUAGUAAAAACUUUGUGAGAAUAUUUUUACGAGAAAAUCAAUACUCUUGCCUUCAACAAUUCCUCUGUGAGAACUAAAACUGAGGAAAGCAAGAUUACACGUUUGAAACAAUAAUCUUACUAAAAAGUAUUUUGAUUCUAAUAUUUUGUGCUCAAGUGUAGUAAAAACUUCGUGAGAAUAUUUUCACUAGAAAAUCAAUAAUCUUGCAUUCAACAAUUCCUCCAUGAGAAUUAAAGCUGAGGAAAGAAAGAUUACAGACUUGAAAUAAUAAUUUUACUAAAAAUUACUUUCACUCUAAUAUUCUAUUCAUCAGUUAUUAUAU